rnacentral:rRNA from 1 species
GGCAGGCCUAACACAUGCAAGUCGAACGGUAACAGGAAGCAGCUUGCUGCUUCGCUGACGAGUGGCGGACGGGUGAGUAAUGUCUGGGAAACUGCCUGAUGGAGGGGGAUAACUACUGGAAACGGUGGCUAAUACCGCAUAACGUCGCAAGACCAAAGAGGGGGACCUUCGGGCCUCUUGCCAUCAGAUGUGCCCAGAUGGGAUUAGCUUGUUGGUGAGGUAACGGCUCACCAAGGCGACGAUCCCUAGCUGGUCUGAGAGGAUGACCAGCCACACUGGAACUGAGACACGGUCCAGACUCCUACGGGAGGCAGCAGUGGGGAAUAUUGCACAAUGGGCGCAAGCCUGAUGCAGCCAUGCCGCGUGUAUGAAGAAGGCCUUCGGGUUGUAAAGUACUUUCAGCGGGGAGGAAGGUGUUGUGGUUAAUAACCGCAGCAAUUGACGUUACCCGCAGAAGAAGCACCGGCUAACUCCGUGCCAGCAGCCGCGGUAAUACGGAGGGUGCAAGCGUUAAUCGGAAUUACUGGGCGUAAAGCGCACGCAGGCGGUCUGUCAAGUCGGAUGUGAAAUCCCCGGGCUCAACCUGGGAACUGCAUUCGAAACUGGCAGGCUUGAGUCUUGUAGAGGGGGGUAGAAUUCCAGGUGUAGCGGUGAAAUGCGUAGAGAUCUGGAGGAAUACCGGUGGCGAAGGCGGCCCCCUGGACAAAGACUGACGCUCAGGUGCGAAAGCGUGGGGAGCAAACAGGAUUAGAUACCCUGGUAGUCCACGCCGUAAACGAUGUCUACUUGGAGGUUGUGCCCUUGAGGCGUGGCUUCCGGAGCUAACGCGUUAAGUAGACCGCCUGGGGAGUACGGCCGCAAGGUUAAAACUCAAAUGAAUUGACGGGGGCCCGCACAAGCGGUGGAGCAUGUGGUUUAAUUCGAUGCAACGCGAAGAACCUUACCUGGUCUUGACAUCCACAGAAGAAUCCAGAGAUGGAUUUGUGCCUUCGGGAACUGUGAGACAGGUGCUGCAUGGCUGUCGUCAGCUCGUGUUGUGAAAUGUUGGGUUAAGUCCCGCAACGAGCGCAACCCUUAUCCUUUGUUGCCAGCGGUUAGGCCGGGAACUCAAAGGAGACUGCCAGUGAUAAACUGGAGGAAGGUGGGGAUGACGUCAAGUCAUCAUGGCCCUUACGACCAGGGCUACACACGUGCUACAAUGGCGCAUACAAAGAGAAGCGACCUCGCGAGAGCAAGCGGACCUCAUAAAGUGCGUCGUAGUCCGGAUUGGAGUCUGCAACUCGACUCCAUGAAGUCGGAAUCGCUAGUAAUCGUGGAUCAGAAUGCCACGGUGAAUACGUUCCCGGGCCUUGUACACACCGCCCGUCACACCAUGGGAGUGGGUUGCAAAAGAAGUAGGUAGCUUAACCUUCGGGAGGGCGCUUACCACUUUGUGAUUCAUGACUGGGGUGAAGUCGUAACAAGGUAACCGUAGGGGAACCUGCGGUUGGAUCACCUCCUUACCUUAAAGAA